rnacentral:rRNA from 1 species
AGAGUUUGAUCCUGGCUCAGGAUGAACGCUAGCGGCAGGCCUAACACAUGCAAGUCGAGGGGUAACAGAGAGAAGCUUGCUUCUUUGCUGACGACCGGCGCACGGGUGCGUAACGCGUAUAGAAUCUACCUUUUACUGGAGGAUAGCCUUUGGAAACGAAGAUUAAUACUCCAUAGUAUGUGUAGUUGGCAUCAACUAUAUAUUAAAGAUUACGGUAAAAGAUGACUAUGCGUCCUAUUAGCUAGAUGGUAAGGUAACGGCUUACCAUGGCAACGAUAGGUAGGGGCCCUGAGAGGGGGAUCCCCCACACUGGUACUGAGACACGGACCAGACUCCUACGGGAGGCAGCAGUGAGGAAUAUUGGACAAUGGAGGCAACUCUGAUCCAGCCAUGCCGCGUGCAGGAAGACUGCCCUAUGGGUUGUAAACUGCUUUUAUACAGGAAGAAACACCGCUACGUGUAGCGGCUUGACGGUACUGUAAGAAUAAGGAUCGGCUAACUCCGUGCCAGCAGCCGCGGUAAUA